AGUGAACGCUGGCGGUAGGCCUAACACAUGCAAGUCGAACGGCAGCACAGUAAGAGCUUGCUCUUACGGGUGGCGAGUGGCGGACGGGUGAGGAAUACAUCGGAAUCUACUUUUUCGUGGGGGAUAACGUAGGGAAACUUACGCUAAUACCGCAUACGACCUACGGGUGAAAGCAGGGGAUCUUCGUACCUUGCGCGAUUGAAUGAGCCGAUGUCGGAUUAGCUAGUUGGCGGGGUAAAGGCCCACCAAGGCGACGAUCCGUAGCUGGUCUGAGAGGAUGAUCAGCCACACUGGAACUGAGGCACGGUCCAGACUCCUACGGGAGGCAGCAGUGGGGAAUAUUGGACAAUGGGCGCAAGCCUGAUCCAGCCAUACCGCGUGGGUGAAGAAGGCCUUCGGGUUGUAAAGCCCUUUUGUUGGGAAAGAAAAGCAGCAGGUUAAUACCCCGCUGUUCUGACGGUACCCAAAGAAUAAGCACCGGCUAACUUCGUG
rnacentral:rRNA from 1 species